UACGUAGGGUGCAAGCGUUGUCCGGAAUUAUUGGGCGUAAAGAGCUCGUAGGCGGUUUGUCGCGUCGAAUGUGAAAACCCGGGGCUCAACCCCGGGCCUGCAUUCGAUACGGGCAGACUAGAGUUCGGUAGGGGAGUCUGGAAUUCCUGGUGUAGCGGUGAAAUGCGCAGAUAUCAGGAGGAACACCGGUGGCGAAGGCGGCAUCCUGGACCAACACUGACACUGAGGAGCGAAAGCCAGGGGAGCAAACGGG
rnacentral:rRNA from 1 species